AACAGAUCAAACCCAUAUCUAUCUUCCUCUUUGCACAACAAAAUCAGAACUAAAAAAAACUAUACAACAACACAUGUAAUGAAUGCAAUACUAACCGGCAAUGGAAAAUGGUACGGUCUGAGCAGUGGGCUUCCGAUGGAAUGGCGAGCAGUGCACGCGAUGAUGUUACGGUUGCACACACAGGGUGAGUCCUGUUUCUUUGUCAGUGGUGCAGUUUUGUGUUGGAGAUGUCGUACUUCGGAAAAAAACACAGAGUCGUCACCGAAUUCUAUUUAUUUUGAAGGUAGGAAAGAUAUCGAGAGAACCUCAGAUAAAUAA